AGAAGAACAGCUACUGCAAACUUGGGAAGAAAAAUAAUGAAUGUCUUUCUUUAUAUCCGAUGAUUAUAUAUAUAUAUAUUACAUUAUAAAUAGGUUUAAUUUUGUCUCACAGGGCAUCUAUAAUUUUCUCAUUCCCAUUUGCUCCUAAGAUGCUGAGUGUGCUUGAAUUCAUAAGUAAGCACCAAGCUUCCAUCCAUUCUCUUCAAUGCAAACCUCUCAACCAACAGAUAGCAACCAAAUUUCCUCCACUCAUCCAUGCCUUGAAGCUCUUCCACUUUGUUCACCUUCACAUGCCUUUCACCAACACCAAUCCACCCAAACCUCUCUUGCUCCCAUUUCAUUCUCUCAAAAACUGCUAAACUCAAGCCUAAAUUUGCUUCUUCUCCUGCAUUGUUAAUGCCUUUAAACCACAUCACCCCGUCAGCCACAAUGCUCCCAGCUUUUCCUCCAGCAACUGCAGCCACUUCUGUUUCAACGACAGCGUCCACAGUCGCAACGUUGCCAUUAUUAUAGCUAUUUUCGCAAGCGAAAAUUUGUUCCCAUUGUUGUUCAAGUGUCAUCUCAUAGUACCUUGAUCUAUUCACCUGAUCUUCAAGAGUUCCAUCUUUGAUAAAUAUGAAAGGACAAUACCACUUUCCUACUACCGCAGGUGCGGAACUUUUUUGAGACAAUGGGAAGUUGAAGUCUGGAAGGCGGGAUCGGAGAAUUUUGUCAAGGCCUGGUGCUUCAUUUAGCUCGAAUUUAGUUGAAGUUGAGGUUUGCACUGCCCAACCUUUUCUCCUCAAGAAAUCUGGAGGGAACCCAUCUGAAGGUACAGAUUUGGCAACAAAUCCCCCGCACCAACUUUGAAUCUCAAACUGCUGAUAUAUGUCCUGAGCCUGAUGAUCAAAAGGUUGCGGUUUCAAAUCAGAAAUACAUCUACAAAAACAGCAUGUUGUCAUGUCCUCCUCCUUGGAGUUUCUGUAAGCUUCCCUGAAAGUAAAUUCAAUCAAAUGUGAAUGAAAAUUUUCAAACCAAAUUACAAAGCAAGCAAAAUAAAAAGAAAGAUAAUACAUGUACCCUUUACGCUUUCCAUGUCGUUCUAUGCAGUAAUAUUGAUUGGAAGAUAGUGGUUGGUUGAGAACAGGAAUGAAGAUAACAGAGUUUGGGGGAGUAUGUGUUGAAUACACUACCGUCAAGUUCUUGUUUUGAGGAAAAGGUAAGUCUGUAACUUGAUAACUCCGGCACAAUCCAAAACAACAAGUAGGCUCAGCUUCUUCAUCUUGGAUUACCAAUAUUCCAGAAUUUGGACCGUCAGGAGGAGGUAAUGAAAGAGCUGAAGGAUCUCUCUUGAACAAAGACAGAGGCCUCGUCACGUACAUUUCUUAUCUUCUUCUCCAAAAUUUUCUUGGCUCUUCUAAAAUACUUAUCCUUUGGAAUUGGAAUUUUAAAUGAGUAUUUAUCUCAAUCUUGUUUUGUAUAAGCUUGACAAUUACAACACAGGAUUCCUCCAUGCCGACUGGACAAACCCAGUUGAAUAUUCUAAGUGUGGAAGGGGUCAAUUAUUGAAACAGUU
rnacentral:misc_RNA from 1 species